rnacentral:rRNA from 1 species
UGCCAGCAGCCGCGGUAAUACGGAGGAUGCAAGCGUUAUCCCGAUUUACUAGGUUUAAAGGGUGCGUAGGCGGGGUAUCAAGUCAGUGGUGAAAUCCUGCAGCUCAACUGUAGAACUGCCAUUGAAACUGAUAUUCUUGAGUAUAGUUGAGGUAGGCGGAAUGUGUUAAGUAGCGGUGAAAUGCAUAGAGAUAACACAGAACACCGAUUGCGAAGGCAGCUUACUAAACUAUUACUGACGCUGAGGUACGAAAGCGUGGGGAGCGAACAGGAUUAGAUACCCUGGUAGUCCACGCCGUAAACGUUGAUCACUAGUUGUUUGCGAUACAUUGUGAGCGACUGAACAAAAGCAUUAAGUGAUCCACCUGGGGAGUACGUUGGCAACGAUGAAACUCAAAGGAAUUGACGGGGGCCCGCACAAGCGGAGGAACAUGUGGUUUAAUUCGAUGAUACGCGAGGAACCUUACCUGGGCUUAAAUGUAAGACGACUAACAGGGAAACUUGUUAUCUUUCGAGCGUCCUACAAGGUGCUGCAUGGUUGUCGUCAGCUCGUGCCGUGAGGUGUCGGGUUAAGUCCCAUAACGAGCGCAACCCUUAUCGUUAGUUGCCAGCGGGUAAUGCCGGGGACUCUAGCGAAACUGCCAUCGUAAGAUGUGAGGAAGGUGGGGAUGACGUCAAAUCAGCACGGCCCUUAUGUCCAGGGCUACACACGUGUUACAAUGGUCGAAACAAAGGGCAGCUACUUGGUGACAAGAUGCUAAUCUCUAAAAUCGAUCUCAGUUAGGAUCGAAGUCUGCAAUUCGACUUCGUGAAGUUG